GUUCCCGUUGUUGCUUUAUCUUUGGAUCUUCUUGUUUUACUGUAAGUUACUCCUUGAAACCUAACAAAAACCUAACAAACCUCUUCGUUAGGUUUCAAUGUGUCUGGAAUUUUGCACUUCGAAUCUUUUAUAUUUUGAUAUGUACUUUCAUGUUGGCAUUCUUUGUUGUUUUUGGCCCGCAGUCGUUUGUCAUGUCUUAAUAUUUUAUAUAUUAGAUGGUUUUGUGACAGAACGGAGUGCAUUGAAUGGAAGUGUCAUUGCUCUGCAGGCUUCUGACUUUGACAUGGAUGGCUGUGUGCAGUUUUCAACGCUGGUUCUUUCCAUAUGACUUUCAAAUUCUGCAAGAGCAUGGUAAAUUUGACAGUGACGACUAUGAAAGCCGUACAUUGCUUGAUCAUCGACCAUCAACUGUAGAAGAACAGAGGAGAAUUCAGAUGGCACAACUUCCAAAAGAAAGAUCUAAACACACAGGUUUCUCGUUUGAUUCGCCUGGAUUUGAGUCUUUCUUCGCUCAGCAAUCUGGUGUGCCUCCACCAGCGAAGUCGUGGGAUAUUGCACGUCGUGCUAGUAUGAAACACCCCCGUCAGAGCACAGGAAGAAAAUCCCGACAUUGAAAUUC
rnacentral:lncRNA from 1 species